rnacentral:sRNA from 2 species
GAAUAAUUUGCACCGAGUUGCUUUUUAAGCAAGCGGGGGAACCAAUUUUUGGGGUGAGUUGCUCUUUGCAAGGGGCUAUAACUUUCGGUCCUAACCCGUCAGCUAACCUCGUAGGUGUGGAGAGUGAGGCGUU